rnacentral:lncRNA from 1 species
CUUUCAGGAUUCCUGGGCUGGGGACAGGGAGAGGAAGAAGAGAAAGAUCCGCCAUGCUGGAAAAAGGAGAACUAAGAUGCCACACCCGAGAAGCUCAGGACAGAGAACAUAGCCGCCAUAUUGGAGGGACUCCAUCCAAUAAAGGCAAAUAAAGAGAGCCUGAAAGUAUAGCUUGGCACCUACGCAGCAAGCCACUCCUGUCUACAGUGCUCAUGAACCUUCCAGAAUCAUGGAGAAGACCUGCCGUGCAUGGCCCUUAUUGCAAACUGAAAGUGUUUCGAGGCCCAAGGUGGAAAGAAAAAAAAAAGAAGAAAGCAAACCUGGGAAACACAGAAUUCAUUCAGCCCCUUGUAGUCCCGCACUUUGGUCACAGAGGAAACAUCCCCUGACAGCCUGGUGUUCGAAUCUAAUGUGGUCAAAGCAAACUAUGGAGCCGGACCUAUGCAAAUCUCUACAGAAACUCGAGGUUAGAUGUAUUUUACACUAAGUAACACUCAGGGGCCAUCUUCUUGGGAUUGUACUUUAAUAGAAAAUAUGCCAGAGAGGCUAGGGAAAAUUAAGAAAAAUAUAAAUUUAAGUCAGAGAUCGGAAUGGUAAUUUGUGUGAGGGGGAAGAAAACCACAAGCGCUCCCCCCCUCACACUGCCUUGAAAGCGUGGAUGAUUUCAGAAUCCCACCCUACGAGAAAGCAAGGAGAUGCAGGGUUUGGAGUUAAGAAACGUAAGUGUCUCCAGUCCCCAGCUGCACAUUAAACUAAUGUCAAGUUGAAGGAAAUCGUAUUGCUGCUGAGGCUGGAGAAAGAUGUCGGAGUGCAAUAAUUAAUGGUGCAGGUUUGAAGGAGAAAGGCUGCCAGGCUAAUGGAACCUGAAGAGAGGUAAAACUCCUCCUGUCCAGAGACAAGACACUUUCCCACCCAACAUAGGAGAAAAGCCUUCCCUUAAAGUAGAGAGGAACCCUUCGAAACCUUCCCUGUGAAAGCCAGGCCUCGGUUGACUUGUGUGGGACUUGCAGGUCACCACCCAUGUGAGUGGCAAGCAGGCCUUGCUGACAGGACAAGCCCUGAAACCAGACCUGGCCAUUUCUGGUUCUCUAUCAAAAUGAAACCAAAAAGUUCUUCAACCCCAUGAAAAUAAGCGGGAGAAACCCUGUCUCGAAAAACCAAAACCAAAAAAAAGAGAGAGAAAGAGCGAGAGAAGAAAAUAAGUGGGAAAAAGUCACUCCCUGGACAAGGUUUCAAAGCUCACAGCCUUUUAAUAAAGCCAAUGUCUAUGAAAAGGGUUAACCUGUUGUUUAGAAAUGGAAAAUUUUGUUGCUGAAUA